rnacentral:rRNA from 1 species
ACGGUCUUGCUGUCACUUAUAGAUGGAUCCGCGCUGCAUUAGCUAGUUGGUAAGGUAACGGCUUACCAAGGCAACGAUGCAUAGCCGACCUGAGAGGGUGAUCGGCCACACUGGAACUGAGACACGGUCCAGACUCCUACGGGAGGCAGCAGUAGGGAAUCUUCCGCAAUGGGCGAAAGCCUGACGGAGCAACGCCGCGUGAGUGAUGAAGGUCUUCGGAUCGUAAAACUCUGUUAUUAGGGAAGAACAUAUGUGUAAGUAACUGUGCACAUCUUGACGGUACCUAAUCAGAAAGCCACGGCUAACUACGUGCCAGCAGCCGCGGUAAUACGUAGGUGGCAAGCGUUAUCCGGAAUUAUUGGGCGUAAAGCGCGCGUAGGCGGUUUUUUAAGUCUGAUGUGAAAGCCCACGGCUCAACCGUGGAGGGUCAUUGGAAACUGGAAAACUUGAGUGCAGAAGAGGAAAGUGGAAUUCCAUGUGUAGCGGUGAAAUGCGCAGAGAUAUGGAGGAACACCAGUGGCGAAGGCGACUUUCUGGUCUGUAACUGACGCUGAUGUGCGAAAGCGUGGGGAUCAAACAGGAUUAGAUAC